UGGCAACAAGACAUCCGGGCCCUUUCGUCCUCGCAGUGGAGCGAUUACUUCCGGUCUAGCUGGUCACCUAGGCAACGGGCCACUUGGUGGAGGCUUGUAGGAACCGAGGCGCCAUGGCGGAGGUGACAGCUCGGCCGACUGCAUCUCUGCCAGCAGCAGCAGAACUUCCCAGAGCCAGAUCAGGAAGAGAGCUGCAUUUCGUAGUGUUUCCCACAUCCAGCGUGGUAGCACCCCGAGAGAUUUGAAGCAUGCUCCAGCUACGACUUCAAAAGGGCCAUUGGUUUGAUAGGGGAUUUUAACUGCUACUUGCUUUCGUCGGCGAGAUUGUAGUACAA
rnacentral:lncRNA from 1 species